rnacentral:rRNA from 1 species
GGGUUGUGAGGUUAAGCGACUAAGCGUACACGGUGGAUGCCCUGGCAGUCAGAGGCGAUGAAGGACGUGCUAAUCUGCGAUAAGCGUCGGUAAGGUGAUAUGAACCGUUAUAACCGGCGAUUUCCGAAUGGGGAAACCCAGUGUGAUUCGUCACACUAUCAUUAACUGAAUCCAUAGGUUAAUGAGGCGAACCGGGGGAACUGAAACAUCUAAGUACCCCGAGGAAAAGAAAUCAACCGAGAUUCCCCCAGUAGCGGCGAGCGAACGGGGAGCAGCCCAGAGCCUGAAUCAGUGUGUGUGUUAGUGGAAGCGUCUGGAAAGGCGCGCGAUACAGGGUGACAGCCCCGUACACAAAAAUGCACAUGCUGUGAGCUCGAUGAGUAGGGCGGGACACGUGGUAUCCUGUCUGAAUAUGGGGGGACCAUCCUCCAAGGCUAAAUACUCCUGACUGACCGAUAGUGAACCAGUACCGUGAGGGAAAGGCGAAAAGAACCCCGGCGAGGGGAGUGAAAAAGAACCUGAAACCGUGUACGUACAAGCAGUGGGAGCACAGAGCAAUCUGUGUGACUGCGUACCUUUUGUAUAAUGGGUCAGCGACUUAUAUUCUGUAGCAAGGUUAACCGAAUAGGGGAGCCGAAGGGAAACCGAGUCUUAACUGGGCGUUAAGUUGCAGGGUAUAGACCCGAAACCCGGUGAUCUAGCCAUGGGCAGGUUGAAGGUUGGGUAACACUAACUGGAGGACCGAACCGACUAAUGUUGAAAAAUUAGCGGAUGACUUGUGGCUGGGGGUGAAAGGCCAAUCAAACCGGGAGAUAGCUGGUUCUCCCCGAAAGCUAUUUAGGUAGCGCCUCGUGAAUUCAUCUCCGGGGGUAGAGCACUGUUUCGGCAAGGGGGUCAUCCCGACUUACCAACCCGAUGCAAACUGCGAAUACCGGAGAAUGUUAUCACGGGAGACACACGGCGGGUGCUAACGUCCGUCGUGAAGAGGGAAACAACCCAGACCGCCAGCUAAGGUCCCAAAGUCAUGGUUAAGUGGGAAACGAUGUGGGAAGGCCCAGACAGCCAGGAUGUUGGCUUAGAAGCAGCCAUCAUUUAAAGAAAGCGUAAUAGCUCACUGGUCGAGUCGGCCUGCGCGGAAGAUGUAACGGGGCUAAACCAUGCACCGAAGCUGCGGCAGCGACGCUUAUGCGUUGUUGGGUAGGGGAGCGUUCUGUAAGCCUGCGAAGGUGUGCUGUGAGGCAUGCUGGAGGUAUCAGAAGUGCGAAUGCUGACAUAAGUAACGAUAAAGCGGGUGAAAAGCCCGCUCGCCGGAAGACCAAGGGUUCCUGUCCAACGUUAAUCGGGGCAGGGUGAGUCGACCCCUAAGGCGAGGCCGAAAGGCGUAGUCGAUGGGAAACAGGUUAAUAUUCCUGUACUUGGUGUUACUGCGAAGGGGGGACGGAGAAGGCUAUGUUGGCCGGGCGACGGUUGUCCCGGUUUAAGCGUGUAGGCUGGUUUUCCAGGCAAAUCCGGAAAAUCAAGGCUGAGGCGUGAUGACGAGGCACUACGGUGCUGAAGCAACAAAUGCCCUGCUUCCAGGAAAAGCCUCUAAGCAUCAGGUAACAUCAAAUCGUACCCCAAACCGACACAGGUGGUCAGGUAGAGAAUACCAAGGCGCUUGAGAGAACUCGGGUGAAGGAACUAGGCAAAAUGGUGCCGUAACUUCGGGAGAAGGCACGCUGAUAUGUAGGUGAAGUCCCUCGCGGAUGGAGCUGAAAUCAGUCGAAGAUACCAGCUGGCUGCAACUGUUUAUUAAAAACACAGCACUGUGCAAACACGAAAGUGGACGUAUACGGUGUGACGCCUGCCCGGUGCCGGAAGGUUAAUUGAUGGGGUCAGCGCAAGCGAAGCUCUUGAUCGAAGCCCCGGUAAACGGCGGCCGUAACUAUAACGGUCCUAAGGUAGCGAAAUUCCUUGUCGGGUAAGUUCCGACCUGCACGAAUGGCGUAAUGAUGGCCAGGCUGUCUCCACCCGAGACUCAGUGAAAUUGAACUCGCUGUGAAGAUGCAGUGUACCCGCGGCAAGACGGAAAGACCCCGUGAACCUUUACUAUAGCUUGACACUGAACAUUGAGCCUUGAUGUGUAGGAUAGGUGGGAGGCUUUGAAGUGUGGACGCCAGUCUGCAUGGAGCCGACCUUGAAAUACCACCCUUUAAUGUUUGAUGUUCUAACGUUGACCCGUAAUCCGGGUUGCGGACAGUGUCUGGUGGGUAGUUUGACUGGGGCGGUCUCCUCCUAAAGAGUAACGGAGGAGCACGAAGGUUGGCUAAUCCUGGUCGGACAUCAGGAGGUUAGUGCAAUGGCAUAAGCCAGCUUGACUGCGAGCGUGACGGCGCGAGCAGGUGCGAAAGCAGGUCAUAGUGAUCCGGUGGUUCUGAAUGGAAGGGCCAUCGCUCAACGGAUAAAAGGUACUCCGGGGAUAACAGGCUGAUACCGCCCAAGAGUUCAUAUCGACGGCGGUGUUUGGCACCUCGAUGUCGGCUCAUCACAUCCUGGGGCUGAAGUAGGUCCCAAGGGUAUGGCUGUUCGCCAUUUAAAGUGGUACGCGAGCUGGGUUUAGAACGUCGUGAGACAGUUCGGUCCCUAUCUGCCGUGGGCGCUGGAGAACUGAGGGGGGCUGCUCCUAGUACGAGAGGACCGGAGUGGACGCAUCACUGGUGUUCGGGUUGUCAUGCCAAUGGCACUGCCCGGUAGCUAAAUGCGGAAGAGAUAAGUGCUGAAAGCAUCUAAGCACGAAACUUGCCCCGAGAUGAGUUCUCCCUGACUCCUUGAGAGUCCUGAAGGAACGUUGAAGACGACGACGUUGAUAGGCCGGGUGUGUAAGCGCAGCGAUGCGUUGAGCUAACCGGUACUAAUGAACCGUGAGGCUUAACCUUACAACGCCGAAG